CCCAAGUCCUCAGCAGUCAAUGACACUGACCCGUUCAAACUGCUUCUUAACGCGUACUUCACGCGUAUUUAGCAGGACUUCACGUGUAUUUAACAGGUUAAAUACACGUAUUUAACGCGCUGAUUUUUCAGGCGUAAACGACACGUAUUUAAUGCGUUAAAUACGUGUUUACGCGUGAAAUACGCAUAUUUAACGUGUUGUUUACACAUUAAAAUUCGCGUGUUUUAGACCCUCUGGGCCUUCCAUACUUGGACGUUGAUAUGAGGUUCAAAAUUUGACCGUCCGGCUACAACGUGCAGAACAGGUUCAGGAAAUCGACAUAACUUUUUUUUUUAUAUAUAUAUAUAUACAUAUAAACACAACAAAGCAAUCCUUUGAUUUCCGAUUUAAAUAUCGCAUGUACCCUAUAAUCUUAAGAAACUUUUGGGUGUUAAAAUGAUGUAAUAUAUAAAUGUUUAAAAACAUUAAACAUUUAUAAUUACAUAAUGUGACCAUAUAAAAUCUUACAUGGAUUUAUUUAUGGUAUGGUUUGUGGUAUUUUUCACUGGAGCAUUGACAGAAACAGCAGUUUACAUCUGUAUUAGAUCUAUAAAUUAAAUAUAGUUAAUUAAAGUUAAAUAUAUUAAAGUUUAAUAAAUUUAAAUAGAUAAUUAGAUUAAAAUAUUUCCUUUUCAAUAAUAAAUAUUUAACACAUAGAUUUAAAUUGGAUGAAAUAGUGCAUUUAAACGUGCGCUCGCCACUAGGGGCGUUAACGUGAUGUUACGUGAGUGACGUAAACGUGAGGGCAAAAAAAAAAAAACGUAAACGUGAUGGCCUAUGGUGAUGGCGCAAACAAUCACGAAGACGGAAGAAUAAUUCUGUUUAUUACAAAAGACUGAAGAUAUAACUACAGCUAUUCUUUAAUUUAUUUAUUUCUACGUUGAGGACACUUUAUAAACCUACAGAGAUACCUGACCAACGAACGACCUUCACAACGGGACAGAGCUAACAUAACGUUAACGGUUACUUGGAAAUUCAAACAGUAACGGAUCUGACAACUGUGCUGAGCCAAAGUUGGUGAAGAUGGAGAUGUUGUGACGACCAGGACAGUUCCUCCUAGCACACCAGACUCUGCUGUAUGUGGACGCCUGUCCACUAGCACUGGACAUUUACAACAUUUGGUGCCAGGGACCUCUUGCAGAGAAGAUUUUUCAAGGACACCCUCAGAAUUACAACAGAUUUUAAGGCUUGAAAUUAUUGUCCUGGAACUGCAGUUGUUGCUAACGGCGCGAUAUGAGAAACACCUCCACAUGUGCCCAGCGGAGAUGUUGUGCGUUUAUGCAAAAUAUGUGAGCUGAAUUCCUUCCAAACGCCGUAGAAGGCCACUGCCUGCAUUACCCGCCGGGUGUUCUCCCCAGGGUUUGGACCUCCAACGAGGCUUAAAUGAUGUGUCUGCAAGAUGGAAUACAUUUUCUAAAUAGUAUCGUCUUUUAUCUUUUCUUCAAGGGAGAGGAGUUCAUUGAUGGUGCCACACACUUCAAGGCUCAUCUCCUCUGCUUGCUGGCAAGUCCCAUCACCCAGGGCACGAGCAUAAAGUUCAUGCAUGGCUGCUAUUGUGCUCCUCAUUGCCUUCAUCUCACUCUCUAUGCUUACUAUUUUUUGAAUGAGGAGGCUAAGGAGGUGAUCUGAGGAGAAUCAAUAUUGAUUCGUUAAAAUUAAGGACCUGGUUUAACCAGCAGUGGAGAGAGUCAUGAAGGAGAAUCACCAAAUAACACUGACAGCGAAGGGUGUCUCUGGGUGGAGUUGGCCUUAUUGGCACAUCAGGCAUGGGAAGCUCUCCACAUCUUGAUGGCAUCUUUAUUGAUUGAUUGAAGGUGGUUUGCUUGUUAGGUUCAUACCUUCAUAAGAGCUGCUGAGACACACCGGUCGUCUUUUCCUUUUGGGGGUGUCAUCACAGCUCUCAAGUGAAGAUUGCACAGCUGCUUUUUUCGACCACUUUUUUGCUCUUUCAUAGUCAUCUUAAGCAAAAAUAUGCCUCCUAGCAACCUGAAUCAGUGGGUUUCUACCAGAACGCACCAUCCUCUUGAGUGUUUGCAGGUAGUUUUCAAACAUGAAGGCACUACAAUUUUCCAGACCACCGAAGUUUUCGGCAUCUUUUGCUAUGUGCAGCAUGGCAUGUGUGUUGUAAACAAGGAACUCUUGUCCAUAAAGAAUCCGACCUUUUCCACAAAAUAAUGCAGCAGUUCAUCUGCAUAUUUCGAGUGUUCCUGCACAAGACUUGGACAUACCAAGAUUAUCAUGGCCACGCUAAAGGAAAGGAAGUGCAAAUACAUUUCAUCAGGCAGUAUUCCCUUCAACACAAUCUUCCCAGUGUAAAGAAGGAACUGACGAAACUCAGUCGCUUUCCACCUGUCCAGUUCCUCAAGACCUCUAGGCUUUCGCACAAAAGUAGAUGGGAUGCAUUUCCGAAGAGACCGCAGUCUUGCACUAAUCUCUGUGAUUUGGCUGGCUGAAACACUCACAACUCUGUCUCCUCUGGUCCAGAUGUGCAGGAGUCUUUUCAUUACACCUAGACAAGCCUGGUGCAUGUAAUCAAUGGGAAAACUCUGCACCAUGUCUAUGGGGAGGUGAGACAGAGUGAAUCCCAUGAUUCAUCAGAUGAGCCAGUUCCCUUACUGUGUCUUCCAAAAAGCCAAGAUCUGUUGGUCGACUUAGACUGCUUGUCAGAGCCGUGGGGAAAAUGGUGACAGGGUCUAACAUGACUGCACAAAGAACUGGCCACAUACAUGUUUUGGAACUCUUGUACAGUGGUCAGAAGCCGAGGAUUCAUUCAAACUGUUAAUACCUUCCCAUGUCACUGCUCUUGACUGUUCUUCCACAUUUGCAGAAUACAAAUAGUGUUCAUUGUCAGAUGAACACUCUCCACAAAUCAUCUCCAUGUCAACAUCUUUUUGUGAUUGUUCUUCAAGUGGAAGAUCAAGUGAUUGUACUUCAGCUGGUGGAUUACUCUCCUUGUGGCAGUACCAACGAUGUUUCGUCCAGCAUUAAAUUACUGCAGAAGAAGAAUACCGCCAACGUGACGCGGAUAUUAUAUCUUAAUGGAGGAAUAAACCUGAAACAGCACUUCCAAGAACUUCUUGAUUGUCGUUUAUGGAUUCCUCAUGAAAUUUGGGAUUGUCGGUUUGGAUGGACCAGGAGUUGGUGUCACUGGAAAAACUCUCAUGGUGGCCCGCUGAUGACUGAGGAUAGAUGUGCCUUGCUGCUUUUCGAAAAGGACUUCUGUCCUGAUGUUUGGCUGUGGUCCCCCCAUCAUCCACUCUUUGGCAACAAGUCUUUGUAUGCAGACCACCAUGAUCUAAUCUAUACAGACCUAGUUGUCUCUUCUCCCACAAACUCCACUUUCAGGAGUACCUUUUACAAAGGUGUCACCAUGAGCUCCCGACCUCCUGACCUCUCCGUGGCUGAGCUGUAUUAGGACUUUGUCAGAACUACAUCUUUUUUGGUCACCACAAUCUGGAUGUGUUCAGUGAGGAUUCAUCGGUGGAUUUCACCUUUGGAAAAGUUUAGGCUGGGAGUGUGUUGUCAUACCAGCAGAAACAAGCUGCAUCAUUACUCACAUCAAGAUGUCCCAUCACCACCACAUCUACCACUUAUUGGUUACAGCCUUGGCACAUCUGUCUGCUUGUUUGUCCAUAGUGAACAUAGUUUUUUAUUUGUAUGUAACCAACACACUUGUACAGGAAAUCUUUAACACCUAAUUAAAGUACUUAUACAUGUUUACACGUUUACAUUAUUAUAGUGCAGGUAACAAAAUAAUUAAAUUUACAUUAUCUACAUUUAUAAAUAAAUGUAUCCAUUUACAAUUUCUAUACUAAAUAUUAUUUUAAUUAAUAUAUUCAGGUGUUCUGUUGUAUUUUUGUAAAGAUUGUGAGUAGCCAAGGGUAUAAAGGGAAUAAAAAAGUGGCGGGACUGUACAAAUCCCAGUAAUCCCAAUCCCAAAUUAAAUGAUUUGUUUCUAUUUCUGGCAUAGUCCAAUUUUUAGUAUAGUUCCAUAGUCCCAUAGGCAUAGUCCCAUAUUUCAAUUUAAAAUAACUGUUUUCUAUGUGAAUAUAUUUUAAAUAUUAUAGCAGUCUAAUAAUAAAAUAAAAGUAGUCUUAAUAAUAAAAAUCAGAAACACUUAUAAUAAAAACGGGAGAGAGAGAGUUAUCUGAGACCAGGGGACCACGUCGCUACAACGUUCCCCAUGGGACCAACUAGCGACGUCUGUUGAGGACAUGCCCACAACGUUUCUGGGACGUUUGCAAACAUUCUAAAAAAAAAAAGUUUAUUUCUUAUAUGGGUAGAUAGAUGUUUGAGUAUUUCGUUACGGGUUUAAAAUGACAAUAGUAUUUAUAAUGUUUACAGUAUACAUUUUGUCAUUUGGAUGUUAUCUUUGUUAUCACUGAUGGACACUUUAGCUAAAGGUAACUUUACCCUUAAAAUUUGCUUUUCACUAAUUCUAUAGUGACUGCAGAAAAAUAGAUAAACAUACAUCCAUAAAUAGCUGUACUAAAGACCAGGGGACCACGUCGCUACAACGUCCUCCAUGGAACUAACUAGCGACGUCUUUUGAGGACGUGCCCACGACGUUUCUGAGACGUUAGCCAAGAUUCUAAAAAAUGGAACUUUACCUCGACGUCCUCACAACGUCGCCAUAAAGUAAUGUCGCGCUAACCAAAUGACGACGAACUGGCGACGUCCUCACAACGUUCUGUGUUUGCUGGGAAGUGCGCUGCGCGCAUAUCAGAAACCAUCUUAACUUGCGUAUUUGCAACUUGCGUAUUUGCCUAAAUGAAUUCUGCCCCACUGCUUAAUGUCUCUGAUCAGUUAAAUUAGUUUUUAAACCACAAUGCUUAAAAUGCGUUUAAAUUAAAAGCUUAUAUCCAUGACGUGCUUAUAUCAUUUACAGCGAUAUCGUUGACUUGAUUGAAAAUUAUUGCAGAGAUACUAUUUAAACUGAACUGAGCUGCAUGAUGACAUCACUGAAUUCA
ensembl:lncRNA